rnacentral:rRNA from 1 species
CCCGAAGCAAGAAGAGUUAACUUAGAAAAAGAUUAGCAUGGUAGAGUUAUCUUAAAUCUUGGUUAGAGGCGAUAUGCUAUUCAAUUCUUGUAUAUCUGGUUUAGCUGGUUAUAAUUUAAUUUUGCGCUCUUAUUUAUUUAUUUUGGGCGAAUACAGUAAAGGGGUAAGCUCUUUACAGUUGUGUGUCUUUAAAUACUAAAGAAGAUUUAAUAAUUUAAUCUUUAUAAAUAUAAAAUUUUAAACUACAACUAUAUAGCUAGACUUAAAAUCUAUUUUUCAAGCAGAUAAUAAAUAUAUUAGUAAAAUAUUACACAAAAAAUAUUAAGUAAAAUUUAUAUAACUUUUUUUUUAUAAAGAGCUCUGAAAGAACUCGGCAAAGCUAGUUUCGCAUGUUUAACAAAAACAUCUCCUGAGAAUUCUUAGGUAACCCCUGCCCCAUGAACAGUUUAAAUGGCCGCAGUACUUUGACUGUGCAAAGGUAGCAUAAUCACUUGCUUCAUAAUUAGGAGCUGGAAUGAAGGGGGCGACGAAAUCUAGACUAUUUGUGAAAUAAUGUAAAUUGACAUUGUGGUCAAAAGGCCACAAUAUAUCAAAGGGACGAUAAGACCCUAUAAAACUUUACCCUUAGACCUAGAUUUGUUUAGAAAUAAUCUGCCAUAAGGGUUGAACUGGGGCGGUAUUUAUACAAACAAUCUUAUAGUAAAUAUUUUACAUAAAUUUAAAGAACUCUAUUAGGAAAAUUAGAAUAAGUUACUUUAGGGAUAACAGCAUAAUUCUCCCCGAAAGUACUAAUUGGCGGGAGAGCUUAUGACCUCGAUGUUGAAUUGGGGCCCCUCAUAUAAGCAGAAGUAUAUGUAGGCAGUCUGUUCGACUAUUGUACCCCCACAUGAUUUGAGUUCAGACCGGCGCAAGCCAGGUUGGUUUCUAUCUUUUGGAAAGAAGGGCUCGGGGUUGUACGAAAGGACCCCUCGGG